rnacentral:rRNA from 1 species
UACGUAGGGUGCGAGCGUUGUCCGGAAUUAUUGGGCGUAAAGAGCUUGUAGGCGGUUUGUCGCGUCUGCCGUGAAAAUCCGGGGCUCAACCCCGGACUUGCGGUGGGUACGGGCAGACUAGAGUGUGGUAGGGGAGACUGGAAUUCCUGGUGUAGCGGUGAAAUGCGCAGAUAUCAGGAGGAACACCGAUGGCGAAGGCGGGUCUCUGGGCCGAUACUGACGCUGAGGAGCGAAAGCGUGGGGAGCAAACAGG